GAGGCCUCCAGAGGAAAGGAAAGGAGGAAAAGGGACAGAAGAAAUGUUCACAGGAACUGCAUAUGGGCCUGCUACUUGUGUCAAAAUGUGACUGAACUCUCUUCCAGCAGACUCUCUCUUUGUCACCCAGGCUGGAGUGCAGUGGUGCGAUCUCAGCUCAUUGCAACCUAUGCCUCCCGGGUUCAAACGAUGCGUAGUAUGGCAGCAAUUAAGAUGGAAGUAAUGAGGAAAAGGAAUACUUAUCAAUGGAGAUUAGAGAGAGCCAAGUGUGAAUCCCUGGAAGGCAAGAUCGCCAUUCUGGUCUCUUGUGGAUAUCAAUGCUGAUCUCAGCUUCUGAUGCACGGCAGUCAAUUAAUAAAUGAUUGUUGCCUGAAAAACUGAGCCCCAAAACAAUAUUACAAGUUUAAUAUCAGUAAAGGAUUUAAUGCUUUCUAACAUGAAGAUACCAGAAGUUGCUGAUUUUUGUAUAACCCAGAGAUGGAUUUAAAUGCAGAGUGUAUGAACUUCUUCAUUCCUGAGGGAGGACUUAUGAUUUCAUGAGAAAUGCCCUAGGAAAGGGGCCGGGGAGACUGAUGGAGAAGAAGAGUUUGGGAGGGAAGCCCCAAGGACCAUCUGCCCCAUCAGAGUCACAUGCAGAGGGUCCUGCUCCUGCCGUUGGAAGUUGGCUUCCUGAGCUGCUGAACGUGCCAGUCCUGCUGACCCACUCUCAGAUAUCACAGGCACCCGCUGUGUCUGACAGAGACCUUUCUGCAAGUACACGUGCAGGUCUGCUCUGCAAAGGCGUUAUCAUCUGCAGAUUAUUGCACAGAGUGGCUACGAGCUGUGGUGUGAUCCUGUCACAGAGAGAGCCUGGUCACGUUUUCAGAACAGCAGGAAACAGGUACACCUGUAAGCUUAUACUUAUCAGAUUUAAAAAUAAAACAAAAAAUCCAUGCUAUUCCAUGAAAAUCGGACUCAAAUAAACUUAGUCACUGAUCUGUGAAGUAAAUAAUCUGAUGGUAAUGCAUCAGUUGACACUUGGGCCUGGGUUUUUAGGCACUAAUGAAAGCCAGGGGCAAAAUAAUUUUUAAUCUACCAUUAUUUCCCUUGAUGGUUCGACAAAAGUUCUUGUACUAGAAAGUUUUAUAAAACUACUUUCUGAGUGUCCUGUGACAUUUCUCUGAUGAUAUAAAAAGUCAAUAUUUGAUAGCUUAAAUAUCAAUAUUGACAGAAAUAUGAUUAUUUAAAUAAAAACACAAAUAGUAAAAUAA
rnacentral:lncRNA from 1 species